AACGGGAGCGUGCAAAACGUAUGACCCAAUACAAUAUGAUGUAUACGAAGACAUAACAAAAGCAACAUCGGGACAGAUAUUUCAUUCAGAUAAAGAAGACGUCAACAAGAUAAUUAAUUAUAUCGUAGAAUCAAUUAAGUACAAGCGGACAAUACUUAAACGAACCGAUACUAAAGAAGGAGAAAAUAA